rnacentral:rRNA from 1 species
CAGCAGCCGCGGUAAUACGGAGGGGGCUAGCGUUGUUCGGAUUUACUGGGCGUAAAGCGCACGUAGGCUGCUUUGUAAGUCAGAGGUGAAAGCCCGGGGCUCAACCCCGGAUGUGCCUUUGAGACUGCAGGGCUAGAACGUCGGAGAGGUGAGUGGAAUUCCGAGUGUAGAGGUGAGAUUCGUAGGUAUUCGGAAGAACACCAGUGGCGAAGGCGGCUCACUGGACGACUGUUGACGCUGAGGUGCGAAAGCGUGGGGAGCAAACAGGAUUAGAUACCCGUGUAGUCCCUGUCUCUUAUAC